GGUUUACUCAGAAAAGGAGCUAAUUAGGGAAAUUGAGAAGAUUGCUUUUACCCUUGUUCCUGAAAAGGAUUGGUCUAUACGCAUAGCUGCCAUGCAGCGAGUUGAAGGUCUUGUUUUAGGAGGUGCUGCUGAUUACUCAUGCUUUCGGGGACUUUUGAAGCAGCUUGUUGGCCCUCUAAGCACACAGUUAUCAGAUCGAAGGUCUAGUAUAGUGAAGCAGGUGAUUCUGGUUCUCUUUUGUUGCUAGAUAUUGAUUUGUACAUUUGUUCUAUUUGUAUAUUUGUUCUUUUGUGAGAUCAGCCCAUAAUUGCUAUACUUUGUCUAUGAGUUUCAGUCUUUAAGUUGUUGACUCUGCCCCUAACUUACAAAAAGACUAACAUUGCUUGUGAAAAUCAAUUUUAUUUGAUGUAGUGAUGGCAUUAGGCAUAAAACUUGAAGAGUAAGCAUCCAUAAAUUUACUAAUAGAGUAGCAAAAAUAAAAUUGCAAAUUGACUUUGCAUAUCCCUAAUAUGAUGAUUCUGGACCAUUCAAAUGGUUAAUUACUGGACCCAACCUACAGUAUUUCAUAAUGGAGCACAGUUGUCCUCAGAGUUGGCACAUAUGAUUUCAGGAGCUUCUCUUGUAGAUUCAAUUACAAUUUACUAUCUUAUCACCUUCUUUACUGUUUUUUUGAAUUUCUUAAAUACCAGCCAUUUAUGCUUGUGGCUCGUUUGAUUUUAACUUUUUAUUAGUACUGAUACAGUCAAGGCUACAUGCCUUUGAAUAAAUUUGAAAGUUAACUCUUUUUUGUUGAUGGCUUGAUCUCAAGUUUUGACAGUAGCUUAAGCAAGCUUUGGAUGAACGCUACAUGUGAAACUAACAUUUUUCAUUUGCUAGAACCAUAUGGGAGGGGACUAGAAAUGCAAGAGUGGCCCCAUUUUGUAGAACCUUUUUUGGUUUCAAUUUUCAUUCUGAAGUUUGUGAAAAUGCUAGGGUAUGCUAUUAAAAAGACAAGCAGGGACAGAAAAAAGUUGCUGUCAUCUUUUUUAGUUGUAGCUUGAAUUAUUUGGAUAGGUGCUUUUAAGGUUUUGGCUCCUGAAAGUGGUAAAUUUGUGUUGAACUCAAUGGUGCCUGUUUAUUUUUUCAAUUGCCUUAAGGUAUCUUAUGUCAUUUCUUGCUGUUUCUAAGUGGAAUUUUCAUUUUCCAAGGCUUGCCAUCUGUUAUGCUUUU
rnacentral:misc_RNA from 1 species